rnacentral:lncRNA from 1 species
CAUAAUCAAAAACAAAACGAACAUAAUUAUAACAAUAAUUUCAUACAAAUUAAUUCUAUGAAUAGUGUAAAUAAUAAUACCACUCAUACAACCUCAUGUAAUAGUACUAUGUUUAAAUUAACUUAUAACAGUAACGAUCGCAACAAUAGUACAUAUACUAAUAUAAGUACCAGUACUAGUAGUAAUAGUAGUAAUAGUAUUAGUAGUUGUAAUAGUAUUAAUAGUUGUAGUAACAUUAGUAGUAGUAGCAUUAGUAGUAAUAACUAUGGUGAUGCAUUAGAACAAAAACUUUAUAUUUUUAAGCAAACAAACCCUAUACUAUGUGGUACAUAUAUUGAUACCAGUUUAAAUGACAUUAAUAUGAGGUUUGAAAAAAGAUCAGAUAUGGUACAAUCUGAAAUUAAUAAAAAUCAAAAUAACAAUCUCACUAGUGACACAUCAGUUAUAGCUACAAGUACUGCUAGUAGUGGGACUUGGGAUAAUAUAUCUACAAGUACUAUUAGCGACUAUUCUUACAAAAAAAACAGUUUUAAAAAAAUUGAUCCCAAAUGCAUAAACAAAAUUAAUAACAAAAUUAAUAACAUAAAAAAUAACAAAUAUAUUUUAAAAAAAAAUUGGAACUAAACACCCCAUAUUCCUUCCCACCAUUACAAGAACAACUACAAUUUUAUUUGAAAAAACGAAAAAGAAAAUUAAAAAAAAAAAUCAUGUUUAGCUACAUCAAAACACAAUCGUGUAUAAAAUCAACUUUAACUGAUCGCAAAAACGUUCGGCUCAAUGUUUAUAGAUUGAUGAAAAUUAUAACAGACAUUACUAUGGCUUGCUCUUAUUUGGAUAAACAAAAGAUAAGACCAAUUAACUUAAAACCAACGAACGUACUACUUGACGACUCUUUAAAUGCAAAAAUAUCAGACUUUGGUAUAAGUGAAAUAGAAAAAUGUCUUGAUACAAAUAUUGCUUAUUCGUAUGUUGUAACAUCAAAUAAUGUUAUAAAAGUUAACAAGAACUUAGAAAAACAGAAAAUAAAUAAAAUGAAAUUAAUUAAUAAAAAUCCUAACUAUUCAUUACUUGUAUAUAAUAAUAAUAAUAACAAAGUGAGAAAAUAUAACACAAAUGAAAUUUAUGCUGCGUCAAGUAAUAAUUACGAAUCAGUUUAUUUUUGGACACCCCCAGAAAUAAUGAGGGGACAUAAAAACACAAGUUCAUAUUCUGAUGUAUACACUCUGGGAAUCAUAUUGUGGGAAAUGCUAGCUAAUACCAUCCCAUAUAAUUAUGCGUUUAAAUCUCACCUAGUGGCUUCGGUAGGGUAUGCUAAAGAAAAAUUGCUCUUUACCAACAUUCCUGUUCCUAUCCAAGGUUUAAUAAAAAGCUGUAUCAACAGAAAUAAAUACAAACGACCUACUUUUAACCAAAUUUUGCUUAAAUUGUCAACGUUAUAUGAAAAGAUGAACACGAAGGAAGAAGAUGCUUUGAUUUCGUUUAUGGGAUAAUAGUACUACUAAUAAAUAAAAAAAUAACAACUUCA